UACAGAGGGGGCAAGCGUUGUUCGGAAUUACUGGGCGUAAAGCGCGUGUAGGCGGCUUUGCAAGUCGGGUGUGAAAGCCCUCAGCUCAACUGAGGAAGUGCGCCCGAAACUGCAGAGCUUGAGUGCCGGAGAGGGUGGCGGAAUUCCCCAAGUAGAGGUGAAAUUCGUAGAUAUGGGGAGGAACACCGGUGGCGAAGGCGGCCACCUGGACGGUAACUGACGCUGAGACGCGAAAGCGUGGGGAGCAAACAGG
rnacentral:rRNA from 1 species